rnacentral:rRNA from 1 species
UACAGAGGUCCCAAGCGUUGUUCGGAUUCAUUGGGCGUAAAGGGUGCGUAGGCGGCGCGGUAAGUCGGGUGUGAAAUCUCGGAGCUUAACUCCGAAACUGCAUUCGAUACUGCCGUGCUUGAGGACUGGAGAGGAGACUGGAAUUUACGGUGUAGCGGUGAAAUGCGUAGAUAUUGUAAGGAAGACCAGUGGCGAAGGCGGGUCUCUGGACAGUUCCUGACGCUGAGGCACGAAGGCCAGGGGAGCAAACGGG